rnacentral:tRNA from 1 species
CGCGGCGAAGGGCCUCGGGGACCGCAUCCGGCUGGAGGCCGGAGACGCCGGCGCGUACACCGCCGAGGACCCGUUCGACCUGGUCCUCUGCGUC